UUCAAAAAACGAUUUGACUGCCAAAACAAAUUCCGCACCAAUUAUAUCCCAUGCCCGCUUGUAGAAUUCAGAAGUGUAACCGUCUGGACCCGGAGAUUUAUCAUUUGGCAUUGAGAAUAAGGCUCCCCUUAUCUCUUUUGCUGAAACUGAUGCAGUGAGCAUAUCCUUUUCCGCUGGGGAACAAUGAUAAGGCAAUAGAGAUGUUAAUUUCUCCACUGUUAUUCCCUCAUAAUCAUUCGGGAUUAGCUGAAGAAAUUCUUGAAAAAACCUUUCAGUCUCGUUCUUGAUAUCAUCUUUAGUUGUGGCAGUACUACCAUCUUCCUUCUGAAUUUCGCGAAUAGAGUUUUGAGCUGCUCUAGCGGUUGCUGCGCGAUGGAAAGUUUUGUU
rnacentral:sRNA from 1 species